rnacentral:rRNA from 1 species
UUAAGCUAAAAAGAGUGCAGGGUGAAUGCCUUGGCAUCAGGAGCCGAAGAAGGACGUGAUAAGCUGCGAUAAGCUGCGGAGAGGCGCAAAUAGCCAUUGACCCGCAGAUUUCCGAAUGGGGCAACCCACGUGAGCAAUACUCACGUACUGUGCAGUAAAUACAUAGCUGUACAGAGGGAAACCCGCUGAACUGAAACAUCUAAGUAGGCGGAGGAAGAGAAAGAAACAUCGAUUUUCAAAGUAGCGGCGAGCGAAAUGGAAAGAGGCCAAACCGAGAGUAGCAAUACACUCGGGGUUGCGGACGAUAAUGUGUAUCCCGGAAGUUAGACGAAGUGUUGUGGAAACGCAGACCAUAGAGGGUGAAAGUCCCGUAGUCGAAAGCGGAAGGGAGCUAGUCGUAUCCAGAGUACCAUCGGACACGAGUAAUCCGGUGGGAAGCCGGGGGGCCCACCCCCCAAGCCUAAAUACUACCUGAUGACCGAUAGUGGAAAGUACUGUGAAGGAACGGUGAAAAGAACCCCGGGAGGGGAGUGAAAUAGAACCUGAAACCCUGUAUUUACAAGCCGAUAGAGCGAUUUAAGGCGCGAUAUCGUACUUUUUGUAGAACGGUCCAACGAGUAUAUGUAUGCAGCGAGGUUAAGAAGUUAAGCUUCGAAGCCGAAGGGAAGCCGAGUCUGAAUAGGGCGUAGAGUUGCAUGUAUAUGACCCGAAACCGGGUGAUCUAGCCAUGGACAGGUUGAAGCGGAAGUAAAAUUCCGUGGAGGACCGAACUCACUGCUGUUGAAAUAGUAGGAGAUGAGCUGUGGCUAGCGGAGAAAUUCCAAUCGAACCCGGAUAUAGCUGGUUCUCCCCGAAAUAGCUUUAGGGCUAGCCUCAUAUUAGUUUAGCGGAGGUAAAGCACUGAAUUGGAUAGGGGCCGAUAAGGCUACCGAACCAUAUCAAACUCAGAAUGCCGCAUAAAUGAUGUAUGGGAGUCAGACUAUGUGAGAUAAGUUUCAUAGUCAAAAGGGAAACAGCCCAGAUCUACAGCUAAGGUCCCAAAAUAGAUUUAAGUGGAAAAGGAUGUCCGAUUGCUAAAACAACCAGGAUGUUGGCUUAGAAGCAGCCACACAUUCAAAGAGUGCGUAAUAGCUCACUGGUCGAGUGGUUGGGCGCCGAAGAUUUAACGGGGCUAAAAUCUAUACCGAAGCUUAGGCAAUGUAAUUGCAUUGGGUAGGGGAGCGUUGUGUAGUAGGCAGAAGCUUGAGCGAAAGCACAGGUGGACGAGGCACAAGUGAGAAUGUUGGAAUAAGUAGCGAGAAUUAUGUGAGAAUCAUAAUGGUCGAAAGCCUAAGGUUUCCUGGGGAAGGCUCGUCCGCCCAGGGUAAGCCGGGAGCUAACGCGAGGCCGAAAGGCGUAGUGGAUGCACAUACGGUUGAAAUUCCGUAGCCACCGAAAUUGUUAAGCACAGGGACGCAGGAACAUAACUUGAGCCCACCGUUGGUUGAGUGGGUCGUAAGGGAGCGAAAAAAAGUAGCGAAGCAAGUGAUUGUACACUGACGAGAAAAGCUGUGUGGAUUAAUUAGGUGCCCGUACCGCAAACCGACACAGGUAGGUGAGGAGAGAAUCCUAAGACCAGCGAGAGAAGUGUUGUCAAGGAACUCGGCAAAAUGACCCCGUAACUUCGGGAUAAGGGGAGCCUAGCAAUAGGCCGCAGAGAAUAGUCCCAGGCGACUGUUUAUCAAAAACACAGGUUUCUGCAAAGUCGAAAGACGACGUAUAGGAGCUGACGCCUGCCCGGUGCUGGAAGGUUAAGGGGAAUGGUUAGGAGCAAUCCGAAGCUGUGAACUUAAGCCCCAGUAAACGGCGGCCGUAACUAUAACGGUCCUAAGGUAGCGAAAUUCCUUGUCAGGUAAGUUCUGACCCGCACGAAUGGCGUAACGAUCUGGGAGCUGUCUCGACAGCACGCUCGGUGAAAUUGAAAUACCGGUGAAGAUACCGGUUACCCGCGACAAGACGGAAAGACCCCAUGGAGCUUUACUGCAGCUUGAUACUGAGUUUCGACAUGUCAUGUACAGGAUAGGUGGGAGACUGGGAACAGGUAACGCCAGUUAUCUGGGAGUCACCCUUGGGAUACCACCCUUGGUAUGUUGGAAUUCUAACCGGAGGCCAUAAACUGGUCACGGGACAAUGUCAGGCAGACAGUUUGACUGGGGCGGUCGCCUCCGAAAGAGUAACGGAGGCGCUCAAAGGUUGACUCAGCACGGACGGAAACCGUGCAGAGAGUGUAAACGCAGAAGUCAGCCUAACUGCGACACCGACGGGUGGAGCAGUAACGAAAGUUGGAGUUAGUGAUCCGGCGGAAUGAAAGUGGAAUUGCCGUCGCUCAACGGAUAAAAGCUACCCUGGGGAUAACAGGCUUAUCUCCCCCAAGAGUUCACAUCGACGGGGAGGUUUGGCACCUCGAUGUCGGCUCGUCGCAUCCUGGGGCUGUAGUCGGUCCCAAGGGUUGGGCUGUUCGCCCAUUAAAGCGGCACGCGAGCUGGGUUCAGAACGUCGUGAGACAGUUCGGUCCCUAUCCGUCGCGGGCGUAGGAAAUUUGAGAGGAUCUGCUCCUAGUACGAGAGGACCAGAGUGGACUUACCGCUGGUGUACCAGUUGUUCUGCCAAGAGCAUCGCUGGGUAGCUAUGUAGGGAAGGGAUAAACGCUGAAAGCAUCUAAGUGUGAAGCCCACCUCAAGAUGAGAUUUCCCAUGAUUUUAUAUCAGUAAGAGCCCUGAGAGAUGAUCAGGUUGAUAGGUUAGAAGUGGAAGUGUGGUGACACAUGUAGCGGACUAAUACUAAUAGCUCGAGGACUUAUCCAA